rnacentral:rRNA from 1 species
CAGUAGCCGCGGUAAUACGGAGGAUCCGAGCGUUAUCCGGAAUUAUUGGGUUUAAAGGGUGCGUAGGCGGAUAGAUAAGUCAGUGGUGAAAGACGGUGGCUCAACCAUCGCAGUGCCGUUGAUACUGUUUAUCUUGAAUAUGGAUGAGGUAGGCGGAAUGUGGCAAGUAGCGGUGAAAUGCAUAGAUAUGCCACAGAACACCGAUUGCGAAGGCAGCUUACCAAGGCAAAAUUGACGCUGAGGCACGAAAGCGUGGGGAUCGAACAGGAUUAGAUACCCCCGUAGUCCCUGUCUCUUAUAU